rnacentral:rRNA from 1 species
UACAGAGGGUGCAAGCGUUAAUCGGAGUUACUGGGCGUAAAGGGCGCGUAGGUUGUGCAUUAAGUUAGUUGUGAAAGCCCCGGGCUUAACCUGGGAACUGCAACUAAAACUGAGGUACUAGAGUACUGUAGAGGGUAGUGGAAUUUCCGGUGUAGCGGUGAAAUGCGUAGAGAUCGGAAGGAACACCAGUGGCGAAGGCGGCUACCUGGACAGAUACUGACACUGAGGCGCGAGAGCGUGGGGAGCAAACAGG